AUCAAAGUGACAGAUCUAUGUGAUAGCUUUAAAAGCUACAAAAGGCUUAGCCCUUUGAUA
rnacentral:tRNA from 1 species